rnacentral:tRNA from 1 species
GUUGUGGCUCAGUGGUAGAGUGCAUGCCUAGAACAUUCGAGACCCUGGGUUUGAUCCUCAGCAAAACA